rnacentral:rRNA from 1 species
AUACGUAGGGGGCAAGCGUUAUCCGGAUUUACUGGGUGUAAAGGGAGCGUAGACGGUUUGGCAAGUCUGAAGUGAAAGCUCGGGGCUCAACCCCGGAACUGCUUUGGAAACUGUCGUUCUUGAGUAUCGGAGAGGCAAGCGGAAUUCCUAGUGUAGCGGUGAAAUGCGUAGAUAUUAGGAGGAACACCAGUGGCGAAGGCGGCCUGCUGGACGACAACUGACGCUGAGGCGCGAAAGCGUGGGGAGCAAACAGGAUUAGAUUCCCUGGUAGUCCACGCUGUAAACGAUGAAUACUAGGUGUGGGGGGACUGACCCCCUCCGUGCCGCAGUUAACACAAUAAGUAUUCCACCUGGGGAGUGCGAUCGCAAGAUUGAAACUCAAAUGAAUUGACGGGG